rnacentral:snRNA from 1 species
UGGCUUGUGGCAGCCAAGCGUUC